rnacentral:rRNA from 1 species
UACAGAGGGUGCUAGCGUUGUUCGGAAUCAUUGGGCGUAAAGCGCUCGCAGGCGGCUCGAUGCGUCGUGCGUGAAACACCCCGGCUCAACUGGGGAGGGUCGUGCGAUACGGUCGAGCUUGAGGCCAGUAGGGGGAUGCGGAAUUCCGGGUGUAGUGGUGGAAUGCGUAGAGAUCCGGAGGAACACCAGCGGCGAAGGCGGCAUCCUGGACCGGCAUUGACGCUGAGGCGCGGAAAGCCAGGGGAAGCAAAGCGGGG